UUUUUAUCAGAGAAUUUACAAUUUUUAAACAGAGAAAACCAGGAUCCCUGGUAACCACAGAUGCAUUCUUUGUCAUGUAAUAAUGUACAGUGUUUAGAGUUAUACAAGACUAGACCAUUGUUAUCUGGUAUCCAAUUUAAUAGCUCUUGAACUUUGUUUGAUUAUGGCCCAGUUUAAGAAAUCACGCCUUUAAAUGCAAGCAGGUGCUUAAAACUUAAGCCCAGACUUUCAUGAAUACUAUUGAUUUUAUGCAUGUGUAAGUGUUUUCCUAAAUAAGUACCUGUACACCAUGCUUGUGGCUGCUUAGUUAUGUAUUUGCUAGGCUUAAAUGUAUAAGAUAGUUAUUACCCUUUCUCUUUCAGGCUUCAGUAGGAUGUGUCCUAGAGAUCAGAUCCUGCCUCAGUCAUUAUUGUUCAUUAAGGAUUUCAUCGGAUGACAAAACACUGCUUCAAAAGGAAGAGUAAAGAACACUACCAGCCUGGAGCAGCUGAGACCCGGUAUGAAGACACUCUCCAGAGAAGUGCAAGUGUUAUUCCUUUCUCAUCUUCAGUCUUGAUCUUACAAGUCACCUACCCCAUGAAUAGGUCCAGCCUCCUACCUGCUGGUCAGAGCAUUGAGGCCGGACAAAUUAAACUUACCAGACUUUGCUUCAACAAGCAUUCCCCAUAAACAUUUGUAAACUCAGGUUUAUAAUCAGGCUAGAAACUUUCUUUAAAUUAAAAAGUUGAUUCUGCAAAAGUUGGUGGCACAUCUGUACAGGAAUCUUCUCACUCAUUAUGCACAAGUACAUUUUUCAAGUCCUGCCCAAUGAACAAGGGCCAGGCUAAUCACAGAAAGUAACUACCUGCUGGGUACCCACUCAGACAGUUGCUUUCAGCAUGAAUGCAAUGGUUGAUGGGGCACAGCUGUGUUUUCAGGGCACCAUAUAACACCUAGCUGUCUGCAAAGUGCUGGAGGAAGUGGGAAAUGAAAGAGGAAAGCAAGAAAUACAACUGGUUGCUUUAUGAGUAAUGGGCAAGAUGGCCCUGUGCCAAGAAUAUAACAUGCCAAUUACUACUUCACCACAAUGUUGCAUAUACUAAAAGUGUCUAGGGUGGAUACACAGUCUGGCAAUGCUGGCUGUUGGCAGUGGGAGCUCCAUUUAAAGCCUGUAAUGAGGACUUGUAAGAAUAUGUGAGCUGCUGCGCAACAGAGAAAACGAGAUGAACCAAUUGCACAAAGUGCAAUUCAGCACCUAAUUCCUACUAAGUUACAAUAGGAAUGAACUUCCACAAAGAUCUAUGAAAAUUUCCUUUAGCUCUUCUUACACAAACCAAACCUGAGCCCUGAAAAUGCAUUCACUAUUAUGUAGUUGCUAAAUGGAUGAAGCACUAUUUGGCCUACAGUUUGGUUGCCCAGGUGGACACCUAAAUCACAUUCUUUUGUUUGUUUCGCAGUUGGAUAGCUACACCUUUUAGGAGAAUAGCAAAUCAUUUUGGUCAAGUGAAAGUUCUUCUCUUAGUUUGCAAAUGCAGGAAUUUGUGCAAUAAAAAGGUACACCCUGAUUAUCCAAGCUGACAAACUUCCUUAUACUAAUGGUUAUAAAACACAAAUAAAAAAGGUGCAUGCUCAUGGUCAAACUGAACUUGAUCAUAUGGUCAAAAACAUUGUUUUGUGUUAUUUGAACAUCUUGCCUGUGGGUUACAACCAAGAACAGACCUAGCAGCUAAUAUUUUCAUGCAGUGUCCCAACUUGAAAAGGUUUGCAAAGACCAAGCAGUUUUCAGUAAUGAAUAUCUCACAAAAAUGACCUUUACUAAUACUGGGCUUUGCUGCAACUGCUAGCUGCCUCAGGUUAGAGGAAGUGAUAUGUAGCAAGCUUUGACUUAUGUCCGUUUAGAGGGGAAAGAACAGUACUUGAUUAAUUUUGCUAUUGAGGUAGUUUAUUUAAUAGUACAGUGUUUAACAAUGAGACAACAAGGUACUUGUUAAGGACCUAAA